GAUGAAGAACGUAGCGAAAUGCGAUAAGUAAUGUGAAUUGCAGAAUUCAGUGAAUCAUCGAAUCUUUGAACGCAUCUUGCGCUCCUUGGUAUUCCGAGGAGCAUGCCUGUUUGAGUGUCAUCAAGUUCUCAAACUGCAUCCAUUUGAAGGGCGUGGAUUUGGAUUAUGGAGUUUGCAGGCUCUUUGAUUGAGGUCUGCUCCUCUGAAAUGUAUUAGUGGCGAUGUGGAAAAGCUACUGUGGGUGUGAUAAAUAUCUAUGCCUUAUGCAGUGUUCUGCUAUGCCGCUUGCAGGGAGAAAUUUCAUUUUUGACAAACUUGACCUCAAAUCAGGUAGGACUACCCGCUGAACUUAAGCAUAUCAAUAAGCGGAGGA
rnacentral:misc_RNA from 1 species